AACGACUCUCGGCAACGGAUAUCUCGGCUCUCGCAUCGAUGAAGAACGUAGCGAAAUGCGAUACUUGGUGUGAAUUGCAGAAUCCCGUGAACCAUCGAGUUUUUGAACGCAAGUUGCGCCCUAAGCCUUUUGGUCGAGGGCACGCUUGCCUGGGCGUCACGC
rnacentral:rRNA from 1 species